rnacentral:tRNA from 1 species
AGUAGCAUAGUGGUUAAAUGUUUGGCUGCUAACCAAAAAGUUGGUAGUUCAAAUCCACCAGCAACUC